AUUGAACGCUGGCGGCAGGCUUAACACAUGCAAGUCGAGCGAGCUGCGGACGGGUGAGUAAUGUCUGUGCAACUGCCUGAUGGAGGGGGAUAACUACUGGAAACGGUAGCUAAUACCGCAUACCAUCAGAUGUGCCCAGAUUGGAUUAGCUAGUGGGUGGGGUAAUGGCUCACCUAGGCGACGAUCCCUAUCUGGUCUGAGAGGAUGACCAGACACACUGGAACUGAGACACGGGCCAGACUCCUACGGGAGGCAGCAGUGGGGAAGAUUGGACAAUGGGCGCAAGCCUGAUGCAGCCAUGCCGAGUGUGUGAAGAAGGCCUUCGGGUUGUAAAGCACUUUCAGCGAGGAGGCGUUACUAGCAGAAGAAGCACCGGCUAACUCCGUGCCAGCAGCCGCGGUAAUUC
rnacentral:rRNA from 1 species